rnacentral:rRNA from 1 species
GAUCCUGGCUCAGAUUGAACGCUGGCGGAAUGCUUUACACAUGCAAGUCGAACGGUAGAGGGGGCAACCCUUGAGAGUGGCGAACGGGUGAGUAAUAUAUCGGAACGUGCCCAGUCGUGGGGGAUAACGUAGCGAAAGUUACGCUAAUACCGCAUACGAUCUAAGGAUGAAAGCGGGGGGACCGUAAGGCCUCGCGCGAUUGGAGCGGCCGAUAUCAGAUUAGCUAGAUGGUAAGGUAACGGCUUACCAUGGCGACGAUGGGUAGGGGUCCUGAGAGGGAGAUCCCCCACACUGGUACUGAGACACGGACCAGACUCCUACGGGAGGCAGCAGUGAGGAAUAUUGGACAAUGGGCGCAAGCCUGAUCCAGCCAUGCCGCGUGCAGGAUGACGGUCCUAUGGAUUGUAAACUGCUUUUGUACAGGAAGAAACACUCCCUCGUGAGGGAGCUUGACGGUACUGUAAGAAUAAGGAUCGGCUAACUACGUG